UGUCCCUCGGGGAUGUGGACAGCACAGCUUUCUCAGAUCAAUGAGAGCAUGUGCUAUGCUUCCUCUGCAG
rnacentral:miRNA from 1 species